rnacentral:rRNA from 1 species
UGUUUGAUCCUGGCUCAGGAUGAACGCUAGCGGCAGGCUUAACACAUGCAAGUCGAGGGGUAACACGGGUGCUUGCACCUGGUGAUGACCGGCGGAUGGGUGAGUAACACGUAUGGAACCUGCCCCUUACUGGAGGAUAGCCCGGAGGAAUCCGGAUUAAUACUCCGUAAUAAAGGAAGUGGCAUCACUUCUUUUUGAAAGCUCCGGCGGUAAGGGAUGGCCAUGCGCCCGAUUAGCUUGUUGGUGGGGUAACGGCCCACCAAGGCGACGAUCGGUAGGGGGCCUGAGAGGGUUAUCCCCCACAAUGGUACUGAGACACGGACCAGACUCCUACGGGAGGCAGCAGUGAGGAAUAUUGCGCAAUGGAGGCAACUCUGACGCAGCCAUGCCGCGUGCAGGAAGAAGGCGCUAAGCGUUGUAAACUGCUUUUGAUCGGAAAGAAACCCCGGGACGUGUCCCGGGUUGACGGUACCGGUCGAAUAAGCACCGGCUAACUUCGUGCCAGCAGCCGCGGUAAUACGAAGGGUGCAAGCGUUAUCCGGAUUCAUUGGGUUUAAAGGGAGCGUAGGCGGAACGAUAAGUCGGCGGUG